UCAGACCAUGUUAUCAGGAAGCCCAGGCCAUGUGGAGAGGACACAAGUGCAUGGAUACUCUGGACAACAGCCCUGGCUAACACUCAGCAGUACCUAACUUCAACCUCCAUGGGACCCUGAGCCAGAAUCAACCAACCAAGCCACAACCUAAUCCACAGAAACUUUUCGCAGGGUGACCACUGCAGAUCCCACUGUGCACCCCAAGCUGCUCCCUCCUGUUUUGCCGAGUCAUCACAGACAUUAAAAAAGAGCCAAUAAUGGAACAUACUUAGGGUCACGCGCUCAUUCUCUACUCAUCCCUAACUGCGACAGAAGACUUGGUAGCAUUAAACUGGCUUGACACAAACAUCUCCAAAUCACACUGUCAAGUCAUGGACCAUGAGUCAACAGGAUUGGAGGAGGUGUGCCGAAGACAGACACGAUUUCAGCUAAUCACAGUACAUCUGAGGACAUUUGCCUUUUGUAAGUCUUCUACCCCUGACAAAAUUAAUAUUGCUUGUGAUGAUUUGUACUGUUUAGCAAAGUCCUCUGAUUAUCUUCCAUGUGGUUGAUA